AUGAAGGAAGAUGGUGGGGUAGAUGCAGGUGCACGGAGCAAAACGCAGGACGUUUUUUCUGUGUGGGGGAAGGGUAGGUGGAUUCAGGGCGGGGAGAACCCAGGAUGGUCACACACGCAAAGAGGCAGCCAAAGAGACACAGACACGCUCAGAGGCAGACACCCACGUCACGUCACACACAGACACACACACAGAGUCACAUGCAAGCACACUUUGGGGGGCAGUUACACCACCCCCGCCCUGCCACACACACCCUUCUGUUGUGGUACACAGUCCUCCCCACACACAAGGAGACAGGCAGACUCGCACACCCUCGUGGCUCCAAGCACACCUAUAGUCACCCUUGUGCAUUCACACAGGGUCUUGGGCACACGCAGCUGCACACACGACAAGGUCACAACACCACCCUGCUUCACACAGGCAGGUAACGCACUGGGAUAUCANCCAGGAUGGUCACACACGCAAAGAGGCAGCCAAAGAGACACAGACACGCUCAGAGGCAGACACCCACGUCACGUCACACACAGACACACACACAGGGUCACAUGCACACGCAGCUGCACACACGACAAGGUCACAACACCACCCUGCUUCACACAGGCAGGUAACGCACUGGGAUAUCACCACCAUGGUGCACCCCAACACACACAGUCACAUGCACUGGGCAGAGCUUUGCAUGUGCUCAGAGUCACAUGUGUGCAGGAUCUCCCCAUGCACAGAAGCACACACACAGCGACGCCAUACCUGCACGGUGUCUCUCACAAACACAUCCUGUCACAACCUGCACGGCCCUCCACACACACAGUCAUGCUCAGGCACACACAGAAUGACACUGGCACACCCAGGCCGCCAGCUCCAUGCUGGCAGGCCCAUCCUACACAGCUGCACACCCAGACACACACACGUCUCAUCGCACACCUCACACCCAGGAGAAUUCCACACAUGCCCCAAGUCACACAUGGGCAGAGGUCCCCAAAUGCACAGACACAUGCUCAGUUAUGCAUACUACUUCCCCUUCCUGGGCACACGCCGCCGGGGUCAGGCACGUGCAAACACUCAGUGACACGUGGGGCAGUCUCACACACUGAGUCGCAUGAACAAGUAACACACUAG
rnacentral:lncRNA from 1 species